rnacentral:rRNA from 1 species
CGCGGUAUACGGAGGGUGCAAGCGUUGUCCGGAAUCAUUGGGUGUAAAGGGUGCGUAGGCUGGUGUCUAAGUCUGGGGUGAAAUUUUGCCGCUUAACGGUAACAUGGCCUUGGAUACUGGAUGCCUUGAAUCUGACAGAGGUCGGUGGAAUUCGUAGUGUAGCGGUGAAAUGCAUAGAUAUUACGAAGAACACCAGUGGCGAAGGCGGCCGGCUGGGUCAGUAUUGACGCUGAGGCACGAGAGCGUGGGGAGCGAACAGGAUUAGAUACCCUGGUAGUCCACGCUGUAAACGAUGUAUGCUAGUUGUUGGGCCUUUGGGUUCAGUGACGCAGUUAACGCAGUAAGCAUACCACCUGGGGAGUACGUUCGCAAGAAUGAAACUCAAAGGAAUUGACGGGGGCCCGCACAAGCGGUGGAGCAUGUGGCUUAAUUCGAUGCAACGCGAAGAACCUUACCCGGGCUAAAUCCUGAUUUGAUACCCCGAAACGGGUAGUUCUCUUCGGAGCGGUCAGGAAGGUGCUGCAUGGCUGUCGUCAGCUCGUGCCGUGAGGUGUUGCCUUAAGUGGCGCAACGAGCGCAACCCCUAUGGUUAGUUACCAGCACGUAAUGGUGGGGACUCUAGCCAGACUGCCUACGCAAGUAGUGAGGAAGGUGGGGACGACGUCAAGUCAUCAUGGCCCUUAUGUCCGGGGCUGCACACGUGCUACAAUGGACGGUACAGAGGGAAGCCACCCAGCGAUGGGGCGCAGAUCUCGAAAGCCGUUCCCAGUUCGGAUUGGAGUCUGCAACUCGACUCCAUGAAGGUGGAAUCGCUAGUAAUCGCGUAUCAGCAACGACGCGGUGAAUACGUUCCCGGGCCUUGUACACACCGCCCGUCAAGCGAUGGAAGUCAGGAGUACCUGAUGUCGCCGUGCCAACCCUUCGGGGAA